rnacentral:rRNA from 1 species
AAAGAAAUCGUUAAGGGCGUAUGGCGGAUGCCUAGGCUUUCAGAGGCGAAGAAGGACGUGGUAAGCUGCGAAAAGCUGCGGGGAUUGGCACACACGAGUUGAUCCGCAGAUGUCCGAAUGGGGCAACCCGGCUGGUUGAAGACCAGUCACACCGCAAGGUGAGCAAACCCGGAGAACUGAAACAUCUAAGUACCCGGAGGAAAAGAAAUCGAAGAGAUUCCGUAAGUAGUGGCGAGCGAAAGCGGAUUAGCCCAAAAGCUUUUAUAUGUUUAAUAGAACGUUUUGGAAAGAACGGCCAUAGAGGGUGAUAGCCCCGUAUAUGAAAGGCAUACAUAAGUGAUAAAUGAGUAGGGCGGGACACGUGAAAUCCUGUCUGAAUAUGGGGGGACCAUCCUCCAAGGCUAAAUACUCCUGAAAGACCGAUAGUGAACAAGUACUGUGAAGGAAAGGUGAAAAGCACUUCGAAUAGAAGGGUGAAAGAGAACCUGAAACCGUACGCCUACAAGCGGUCGGAGCCCACAAGUUGGGUGACGGCGUGCCUUUUGCAUAAUGAGCCUACGAGUUAAUUUUACUAGCGAGGUUAAGUAAUUAAGUUACGGAGCCGAAGCGAAAGCGAGUCUGAAUAGGGCGAAUAGUUAGUAGGAUUAGACGCGAAACCUUGUGAUCUACCCAUGGGCAGGUUGAAGCUUUGGUAACACAAAGUGGAGGACCGAACCGGUUGACGUUGAAAAGUCUUCGGAUGACCUGUGGGUAGGGGUGAAAGGCCAAUCAAACUGGGAGAUAGCUCGUACUCCCCGAAAUGCAUUUAGGUGCAGCGUUGCGUUAGUUUAUUAGAGGUAGAGCUACUGAUUGGAUGCGGGGGUUUCAUCGCCUACCAAUUCCUGACAAACUCCGAAUGCUAAUAAAUGAUGCGCAGCAGUGAGGGCAUGGGUGCUAAGGUCCAUGUCCGAGAGGGAAAGAACCCAGACCAACAGCUAAGGUCCCUAAAUAUAUGCUAAGUUGAAACAACGCGGUUGGACUGCAUUGACAGCUAGGAUGUUGGCUUGGAAGCAGCCAUUCAUUUAAAGAGUGCGUAACAGCUCACUAGUCGAGCGGUCCGGCAUGGAUAAUAAUCGGGCAUAAGCAUAUUACCGAAGCUAUGGCAGUAUUUAUACUGGGUAGGGGAGCAUUCUAUCGGCGCAGAAGCAGUACCGCGAGGUAUUGUGGAGCUUAUAGAAAAGAAAAUGUAGGCAUAAGUAACGAUAAAGGGGGCGAGAAACCCCCUCACCGAAAGACUAAGGUUUCCUCAGCCAUGCUAAUCAGCUGAGGGUUAGUCGGGGCCUAACGCGAACCCGAAAGGGGUAGUGGAUGGACAUUAGGUUAAUAUUCCUAAACUUGCUCUCGUUAAAAGGGGACGGUUCACUGUAGUUGCUGAAGACUGACGGAAUAGUCAAGGCCUAGCCUUCGGGCGAAGCUGCUGUAAUGAAGGUGGAUCCAAGAAAAGCCGAAGAGAAGCAACCCGUACCAAAACCGACACAGGUAGUCGAGGAGAGAAUCCUAAGGUGCUCGAGUGAGUCGUGGCUAAGGAACUAGGCAAAAUAGUCUCGUAACUUCGGAAGAAGAGACGCCCCGAGCAAUCGGGGCCGCAGUGAAGAGGCCCAGGCGACUGUUUAUCAAAAACACAGGACUCUGCUAAAUCGAAAGAUGCUGUAUAGGGUCUGACACCUGCCCGGUGCUGGAAGGUUAAGGAAGGCGCUUAGCGUAAGCGAAGGCGUUGACUGAAGCCCCAGUAAACGGCGGCCGUAACUAUAACGGUCCUAAGGUAGCGAAAUUCCUUGUCGGGUAAGUUCCGACCUGCACGAAUGGUGUAACGAUCUGGGCACUGUCUCAGCCACGAGCUCGGUGAAAUUGUAGUAUCGGUGAAGAUGCCGAUUACCCGCAAUGGGACGAAAAGACCCUGUGAACCUUUACUAUAACUUCGUAUUGACUUUGAGUAAGCAAUGUGUAGGAUAGGUGGGAGGCUUUGAAGCCGGUACGCCAGUAUCGGUGGAGCCGACGUUGAAAUACCACCCUUUGCUUACUUGGAGCCUAACUUCUUUAGGAAGGACACUGCGUGGUGGGUAGUUUGACUGGGGUGGUCGCCUCCAAAAGAGUAACGGAGGCUUUCAAAGGUACCCUCAGCACGCUUGGUAACCGUGCGUAGAGUGUAAUGGCAUAAGGGUGCUUGACUGUGAGACCUACAAGUCGAUCAGGUGCGAAAGCAGGACAUAGUGAUCCGGUGGUUCCGCAUGGAAGGGCCAUCGCUCAUAGGAUAAAAGGUACUCCGGGGAUAACAGGCUAGUCUCCCCCAAGAGCUCACAUCGACGGGGAGGUUCGGCACCUCGAUGUCGGCUCGUCACAUCCUGGGGCUGGAGAAGGUCCCAAGGGUUGGGCUGUUCGCCCAUUAAAGUGGCACGCGAGCUGGGUUCAGAACGUCGUGAGACAGUUCGGUCUCUAUCUAUUGCGGGCGUUAGAUGUUUGAGAGGGCUUGAAUCUAGUACGAGAGGACCGAUUUGAACAAACCUCUGGUGUAUCUGUUGUGCCGCCAGGCGCACCGCAGAGUAGCUAUGUUUGGUAAGGAUAAGCACUGAAAGCAUAUAAGUGCGAAACCUGCCUCAAGAUGAGACAUCUUUUAAGGGUCGUUGGAGAUGACGACGUUGAUAGGCUACAGGUGUAAAGCUGGUAACAGCAUAGCCGAGUAGUACUAAUUACCCGUAGAUUUAUAGCCU